UGAUGUGGUCUUGUGUCUUGUCUCAUCUGUCAAAAAAUAGUACAGUAGGCCUACGGGUGCAAAAUUCAUAUUUAAAUCUAAAACUAGUUUCAAAGAAAAACAUUCCAUUUUUUCAUUAUCUACGGUAUAUUCAUAUAUUAUUAAAUUCUUAUCCUGACAUCAGGGCUAGAGAAUUUUUAGAAAUGCGAUUAGUUAUUUUGGAUAAACCCAACGAUGUAGCUGAAUGGGCAGCCAAGUAUGUGAUGAAAAGAAUCAAAGAUUUCAAUCCCGGUCCUGAAAAAUUCUUCACGCUUGGUUUACCCACUGGUGGAACCCCUCUGGGCAUGUACAAAAAAUUGGCCGAAUAUUACAAAAAUGGAAAAAUUUCAUUCAAGUAUGUGAAGACCUUCAAUAUGGAUGAGUAUGUGGGUCUGCCACCCGAUCACGUUCAAAGCUACCACUACUACAUGUUUCAUAAUUUCUUCAAACACAUUGACAUAGACCCCAACAACGUUCAUAUACUUGAUGGCAAUGCCAGCGACCUGGAGAAAGAGUGUGAUGAUUAUGAACACAAGAUCAAAGAGGCUGGAGGAAUUAGGCUUUUUAUUGGAGGUAUUGGCCCAGACGGUCAUAUAGCCUUCAACGAGCCUGGAUCUUCACUGGUAUCUAGGACUCGGGUGAAAACGCUGGCUCACGAGACACUGGAAGCCAAUUGUCGUUUCUUCGAUAAUGACAUCACAAAAGUGCCCACUCAAGCACUCACUGUUGGAGUGCAGACUGUUCUCGAUGCAGAUGAUGUGCUAAUCCUGAUAACGGGCUCAGGCAAGGCAUUGGCACUCCACCACUGCAUCGAGCAGGGCGUCAACCACAUGUGGACUGCAUCAGCCUUCCAGCAACACAAGCACACCAUCAUGAUUUGUGACGAGGACGCCACUCAAGAGCUCAAGGUCAAAACUGUCAAGUAUUUCAAGAACUUGAACAAGAUACAUGAGAAACUCAUUGAGGAAUAUGAGAGUAAGAGAAAAUCAUCAAUUAUGCUCGAUAACUGUGCAAAAUGAACUGUGUGAGAAUGCUGACUUUGUGGGAUCUAACAAUUUUUCAUCCAUUUUCAUGAGUCUGAGAAAGCCCUGACCUCUCACAAAAACUGAGACUGCAAGACAAUAAUAUCACAAUUUAUUUUUCUUCAUCAAGGACAACAUAUAUAUAUAUUUUCUAUCUGUGAUUUGAACCAAAAUUCGACUAACCAAAAUACUUGAAUCAAAUAAUUUUCGCAUCAUAUGAUCUAUCAAAUGUUAUUUAUAUUUAAUCGAGUACAGUAUAAUUAUUAUAUAUUUUAUAUUUUAAUCAAGUACAAGAUAUUGUAUUGAGAAGGAACAUUAUAUUUUCAUAUUAUAACUUUAUAAGUAAAAUUUAGCUUUAUGUGGGGAGAAUGAGAGAUUCAUCUAUAUCAAAAAAUUGAUAUUUUUAUAAAAAAAUUUCAAUCAAUAUCUGAUAAUACUUAUGGAUAUUUUAUAAAUUGUUGUUUUAAUAAAAUUACAUUAUCCACUUUAAGCGUAUCAGACUAUCAUUAUUCAUCUCAAUAUUGUUUUAUUAUUUAAGUUAAUCAAUGAAUGAAAAUAGUAUUAGUUAAAAAAGGGUACUAUGGGAUUAUUUUUAAAACUUGUUUUCAUAUUUUAACAGAUCAAGUAGCCCUAAUCUAAUGAAAUACGUUAUUAGAAAAUAGUAUUAUGUAAUUUUUAUUGUAUGUGAAGCUAUGUAACAGUUUAUUCCAUUAGAAGCUCAUAUCACAUAAACAAUUACAUGUUCUAUUCAUAUUUAUGAAAUAAAUAGGUAUUAUAACAUUUUCAAAUGAAAUAUCUUCAUAGAUAUUGAGCUAAACAAAACUUCAUAAAGAUCAAUACAAUAAAAAUUAAAAAAAGUUCAAAUUCAAUAUUUUUUUAUCUUUGCCUUCUUUGGUAGGAUUGAAUAGCCUAUGAUGUGAUGUGUAUUAAAUGCAAUGAGUAAUAAUAAAAUGACUGAGUAAUCUGGGUCCAUUAGGAAAGUAUCAUUUCUUAUAAAGGAAAAAAGUCCGAAAUUAAUUCAUUUAAAUGCAGUUGAUAUAUAAGAAUUCACUACUAAUAAUAUAUUGAGUAACCUCCUAAAUUAACCUCAUUUUGGAUAAUAAAUAAACGUGACUUAACAAUUCUUGACAA